AGAGCGAACGCUGGCGGCAGGCUUAACACAUGCAAGUCGAGCGGGCGUAGCAAUACGUCAGCGGCAGACGGGUGAGUAACGCGUGGGAACGUACCUUUUGGUUCGGAACAACACAGGGAAACUUGUGCUAAUACCGGAUAAGCCCUUACGGGGAAAGAUUUAUCGCCAAAAGAUCGGCCCGCGUCUGAUUAGCUAGUUGGUGAGGUAACGGCUCACCAAGGCGACGAUCAGUAGCUGGUCUGAGAGGAUGAUCAGCCACAUUGGGACUGAGACACGGCCCAAACUCCUACGGGAGGCAGCAGUGGGGAAUAUUGGACAAUGGGCGCAAGCCUGAUCCAGCCAUGCCGCGUGAGUGAUGAAGGCCCUAGGGUUGUAAAGCUCUUUGUGCGGGAAGAUAAUGACGGUACCGCAAGAAUAAGCCCGGCUAACGUUCGCGCCAGCAGCCGC
rnacentral:rRNA from 1 species